rnacentral:rRNA from 1 species
UUAUGGGAGACAGAAGUAGGAGAUCUUCCCAAUGGACGCAAGUCUGAUGGAGCAACGCCGCGUGAGUGAAGAAGGGUUUCGGCUCGUAAAGCUCUGUUGUUAAAGAAGAACGUGGGUAAGAGUAACUGUUUACCCAGUGACGGUAUUUAACCAGAAAGCCACGGCUAACUACGUGCCAGCAGCCGCGGUAAUACGUAGGUGGCAAGCGUUAUCCGGAUUUAUUGGGCGUAAAGCGAGCGCAGGCGGUCUUUUAAGUCUAAUGUGAAAGCCUUCGGCUCAACCGAAGAAGUGCAUUGGAAACUGGGAGACUUGAGUGCAGAAGAGGACAGUGGAACUCCAUGUGUAGCGGUGAAAUGCGUAGAUAUAUGGAAGAACACCAGUGGCGAAGGCGGCUGUCUGGUCUGCAACUGACGCUGAGGCUCGAAAGCAUGGGUAGCGAACAGGAUUAGAACCCUGGUAGUCCAUGCCGUAAACGAUGAUUACUAAGUGUUGGAGGGUUUCCGCCCUUCAGUGCUGCAGCUAACGCAUUAAGUAAUCCGCCUGGGGAGUACGACCGCAAGGUUGAAACUCAAAAGAAUUGACGGGGGCCCGCACAAGCGGUGGAGCAUGUGGUUUAAUUCGAAGCUACGCGAAGAACCUUACCAGGUCUUGACAUCUUCUGACAGUCUAAGAGAUUAGAGGUUCCCUUCGGGGACAGAAUGACAGGUGGUGCAUGGUUGUCGUCAGCUCGUGUCGUGAGAUGUUGGGUUAAGUCCCGCAACGAGCGCAACCCUUAUUACUAGUUGCCAGCAUUAAGUUGGGCACUCAGUGAGACUGCCGGUGACAAACCGGAGGAAGGUGGGGACGACGUCAAAUCAUCAUGCCCCUUAUGACCUGGGCUACACACGUGCUUACAAUGGAGGGUACAACGAGUCGCGAGACCCGCGAGGUUAAGCUAAUCUCUUAAAAACCAUUCUCAGUUCGGACUGUAGGCUGCAACUCGCCUACCCGAAGUCGGAUCCGCUAGUAUCCGGACACUUGGUGGUCGGGCGGGGGGGGA